UCGUGUCUUGCCUCCUACUCCUGGUAUGAGGAUGCUGUUGACAUAGCUAUGCAGCUGAUUUGAAGAUACUUCAGUCUCCUUUCCAAGAAUGGCUUCCAACAAGGCAUCAUGGAUGAAAAUAUACUGCUCCUGAAAGCAUGCUGUCUAUCACAAUGUAGGUGCCUGUCCUGCCCACGCCAGCGCUGUAAAGAAUGAAGGCACUCAACUAGGACUUUGUCAUCCCCCCCCCCCCCAAUCCAUGGUCACAAUGCAAGUAUCUAAUGAAAUGAGAAAUAACCCUCUUGUCUAGAUAACCUAGUAUAAAUGACAAAGGAUAUUCACAUAGAUUACACCUCAAAACUUCACUAGGACACGUCUCACUAUGAACAAUCUUGACAAGGAGUACAGACUUUCCCAUAGGAGCUGGGAGACAAAGGGUGUGCACUCGGACUCCCUUGCAGCUCAAGCAAAGGCAUGAGACUCCAGCUGCAAGGGACUGAGAGGCGUCUCAUGGCAGCAGCAAUCUCCACACCACGACUGGCCUGCUGAGGCACUGUGUGGGCAGCCUUUGAACUUGCGCUUGGUUCUCCAACUCUCCCAGGAAGUCUGAGUAUGCAUUAUCCUUUUAAUAAACCCCUUUUCUGUA